AACGAACGCUAGCGGCGUGGAUUAGGCAUGCAAGUCGAACGUGAACCGUAGCAAUACGGUGAAAGUGGCGGAAGGGUGAGUAAUGCGUGGAUAACCUACCUCCGAGCCUGGGAUAACUCUGGGAAACUAGAGCUAAUACCGGAUGGGGUCGCCGGGUCGCAUGGUCUGGCGAAUAAAGGAAGCCUCUGAAUAUGCCUUCACUCGGAGAGGGAUCCAUGUCCUAUCAGCUAGUUGGUGAGGGUAACGGCCCACCAAGGCAUUGACGGGUAGCCGGCCUUAGCGGGUGUCCGGCCACAUUGGGACUGAGACACUGCCCAAACUCCUACGGGAGGCUGCAGUCGAGGAUCUUCUGCAAUGGGCGAAAGCCUGACAGAGCGACGCCGCGUGUGGGAUGAAGGCCUUCGGGUUGUAAACCACUGUCACUGGUUAUGAAAGGGCUUGGAGUUAACAGCUUCAGGAACUGACAAAGGCUAGUGAGGAAGCCACGGCUAACUUCGUGCCAGCAGCCGCGGUAAGACGAAGGUGGCGAGCGUUGUUCGGAAUCACUGGGCAUAAAGCGCACGUAGGCGGCGGCGUAAGUCGGAUUGAAAUCCCUCGGCCUAACCGAGGAACUGCGUCCGAUACUGCGU
rnacentral:rRNA from 1 species